CACCCCAUUUCUCUGUGUUUUAAGCACAUUGACCUGUUCCACCCUCUUCCCGCUCCUUAUUUUACACUGACCUGACACUGGUGGCUUCCAGCAGCUCACUUUGACAAGGAAGCCUUUCUGCUCUAUGGUCUCUGGAUCACCUUCCAGGGUGGGCUUGGAGGCCACUCUGGCAAGCACACCACAGCUGCACCAUGGGCCCACCUCAGAUCCAAGUUCUUCACCACGUUCCUGGCUGCUGGCCCUCGAGCUGACUGUCCCGGCCCACAGGUGGUAUUGCCCUCCUUCGUGAGGACUUGAACUGACUCCCGGCUGCCCCUUGGCUGUUCUCUGUCCCCAGCACGCUCAGUUCCUGCUUCUGUGCGUGGUCAGAGUGUCUGCUGGGGUCUGCACUCCAGGGUGCCUCUGCCCUCUGGCUUCACUCCCCAGCCAGGUAGUCACACCCAUGGCCCCUUUAUGAGGUCAGCCCACACCCUCUGAUGCUGCUCAAGUGAAGGACGCCUCUGGCCACCAGCCCUCCGAAGGCCAUGGGCUCACCAAGGGCUGCCAGUUUGCAGAAGUCCCUCACCUUGUCCCACACCCGCUGACUUUCUAAACUUCUGUCCUGUGGACUGUGCUGGGUACAUGUGACAACACCUCAAUGGCCACGUCUUUCAGAGCCCCAUUAUGCGAUGUCAUGACCCUAGAAGCAGAAGGAGCCAUCAAAGAACCAGGCUAAAGGACUUCGGGACCAAAAGGCCUUCGGGAAUGCACCUGGCCAGGAGCUAAGGGGCCACCAGCUGACAAGAGUUGCCAUCAGCCAUGCCAGGUGGAAAGUGUCAGCUGGCAAUGGCCAUGCCGGCCUAAGCUAUCUCUGUGGAGUGAACAAUGUAGCUCAGAAGAGCCAGCACAGAUCCCUCCCACCUGCCAGCCCUGUCUUCCCCCAUCUUGACGCAUGUCCCAGAGUCACAGAGGAGAGCAAGAAGAAAGGAACAUGGCCUGGGGGUGGGAGCAAAAGAGUCCCCUUCACUGAGGCACAAGUAGGUCCCCCAGAGCUCACCCUCUGUGCACUCCCUACCUGCACCCCCUCUGUCCAGCCACCCCACCACACAGAGGUCCAGAAAGAAUCAGCAGAGGACACUGAUUGGCUGCCAUCCGCACCCCCACACUCUCAGGGGCAUCGUCUGUUCCCAAGUCUUAACGACUGUCUGUCCCUGACAUUUUUGCAGAUUUUACAAAUGCAUCUAAUGGUCUAAGUGUG
rnacentral:lncRNA from 1 species